CAGGUAAGAAAAACAAAACCCUUGCUUUGCUAGACUUUAUCCCAUUGCGCAGCCACUAACCUCCAUUAAUUUGGUGGCUAAUAGCAUAGACAAUGGACGGAUCUUACCCAUGGGUGCCAAGACUUUUGGGAAUCUGAUAUAGAGCAACGACCGUAUGGAGAGAAUUGCUCGUGAAAGCCAUGAUUGCAGCACUGGUGUGUUCUAGAAACCCCUAGUGCUUUCGUCUGCUAAGAUUCCCCUUUUGGGUUCUUUCGAGUUUGGGCCCUUUUUGCAAAUCGGGCUUAAGGAUAUUGGUCUUUGGGCCUCUAUAUAUGUUUGGGCUAUUCAGGCAUUGGACCAGAUUUGUUUUAUUAUUAUUAUUAUUAUUAUUUUGGGUUAGUGUUUAUUAAAGGUUGUAAAUGGACUAUUUGGACUUUAUUUAGGUUUAUUUGACUGUCUAUUUAUUUAUUGAGAGUGUGUAAUUAAAAUAAA